CAAAAUGGGUAUCUUUGACUAUUGGAGCAUUCAUAUGUAUAAAGUGCUCGGGUGUACAUAGAAGCCUAGGAGUGCAUAUAACAAAGGUUUUGUCUGUGAAGCUUGAUGAGUGGACGGAUGAGCAAGUUGAUGCCUUAAUU